UACAGAGGUCUCAAGCGUUGUUCGGAUUCAUUGGGCGUAAAGGGCGUGUAGGCUGCGGGGCAAGUCGGGUGUGAAAUCUCAGAGCUCAACUCUGAAACUGCACUCGAUACUGCUUUGCUUGAGGACUGGAGAGGAGAUUGGAAUUCACGGUGUAGCAGUGAAAUGCGUAGAUAUCGUGAGGAAGACCAGUGGCGAAGGCGGAUCUCUGGACAGUUCCUGACGCUGAGGCGCGAAGGCCAGGGGAGCAAACGGG
rnacentral:rRNA from 1 species